UUACACAGUAAAAAUAGAUGGGUUAUUUUUUUAACCCAAUAGAUGGGUUACACAUAUUGGGUCACUAUGUUGGGUUAUUUUCUAAAACGUUGGGUUAUUUUUUAAACAUCGUUGGGUUGUUUUUAAUAAUAACCCAGCGUUGGGUUUAAUUGGUUCCCGCGGCGACAGUUCAAAUUUUAACGGACGACGGUGACUGACGACAGAAGAAGCUGCUGCUGCAUCAGUAUGAGACAUUGGGUUCUUCAGUGAAGGGAAAACUACAACACUGGAAUCUCAUACAUUAAACAUCCACAUGCCAAUUAACUGAAAUAUUUCAAGAGGAAGGAGUGAAUGAAGGAAGUUUUAUGCGACCGGAUGACACCAGCAUUUCUGAACUCCAAGAACUCCUCCCAAGUUUUAGCAUUUUCAACAGUGAAGUAGUGGAACAGAAGACCUUACUACAAGCAGUGGAUCUGUGUUUCAGACAUUUCUACAUGUCCCCCCAAAGCUCCUCUGCACCCAUUUGCAGCACACAGUCUUUAAUGUUCCAGGAGUUCUUUCAACACAUUACCUCUUCCUUAGAAACUUUGUAUCUAUUGAUCUGUAAAACUUUUUAUGUUGCUGAUUAUCAGCAAGUCCAGCAGCCAGCAGAUUUACUUUGUUUAUUAUUAUUAUUAUUAUUAUUACUUGUGUUUAUGAUUUUUUAUUUUUGUUUUAUUGAUAAAGGUUUGUAUAUUAUGUUUGUUUUAUUUGUGCACAUUUGUGUAUGUGUUGAUAUAAAUAAAUAUGAAUUGAUACACAUUUAUGACCCUGGACAACAAAACCGGUCAUAAGUAUCAUGGGUACAUUUGUAGAAAUAGCCAAAAUUGCAUUG